UCUCUCUCUCUUCAUUUGCUCUUGAUGUUCUAAGAAUUCUCUAUAGCAAUUAAAUGGCAUCUGCCUUUCUUUCAAGAUCACUUGUUGGACUUCUUCGUUCUUCUUCAACUUCUUUCACUCAAAAGUCUCAGUCUUUCACUACACCCUUCAAUGUAAGUUUAUAUAUUUCUCUAGAAAUUAUCAAUAUUAUGAUUGGUUUCAAGUAAAGGGGUUCAAGUUUUAUUUGCUUGAAUUGUCUCAAUUAACUUGUUUUCUUCAUUUUUACUGUUUUUCUUACUUAUUUGUUGAUUGUUUGUAAUCAAUUACCACACAAAGAACAAAGUAAAAUAAUUCAUUUUUACUGUUUUUGGGGCUUUCAUCUCUGAUGCUUAUUUGGGCCGGUUUCUAGUAAUCGUCUUGGGAUCAAUUCUUAGUAGUCUU
rnacentral:lncRNA from 1 species